AAAUUGAAGAGUUUGAUCAUGGCUCAGAUUGAACGCUGGCGGCAGGCCUAACACAUGCAAGUCGAACGGUAACAGGAAGCAGCUUGCUGCUUUGCUGACGAGUGGCGGACGGGUGAGUAAUGUCUGGGAAACUGCCUGAUGGAGGGGGAUAACUACUGGAAACGGUAGCUAAUACCGCAUAAUGUCGCAAGACCAAAGAGGGGGACCUUCGGGCCUCUUGCCAUCGGAUGUGCCCAGAUGGGAUUAGCUAGUAGGUGGGGUAAAGGCUCACCUAGGCGACGAUCCCUAGCUGGUCUGAGAGGAUGACCAGCCACACUGGAACUGAGACACGGUCCAGACUCCUACGGGAGGCAGCAGUGGGGAAUAUUGCACAAUGGGCGCAAGCCUGAUGCAGCCAUGCCGCGUGUAUGAAGAAGGCCUUCGGGUUGUAAAGUACUUUCAGCGGGGAGGAAGGGAGUAAAGUUAAUACCUUUGCUCAUUGACGUUACCCGCAGAAGAAGCACCGGCUAACUCCGUGCCAGCAGCCGCGGUAAUACGGAGGGUGCAAGCGUUAAUCGGAAUUACUGGGCGUAAAGCGCACGCAGGCGGUUUGUUAAGUCAGAUGUGAAAUCCCCGGGCUCAACCUGGGAACUGCAUCUGAUACUGGCAAGCUUGAGUCUCGUAGAGGGGGGUAGAAUUCCAGGUGUAGCGGUGAAAUGCGUAGAGAUCUGGAGGAAUACCGGUGGCGAAGGCGGCCCCCUGGACGAAGACUGACGCUCAGGUGCGAAAGCGUGGGGAGCAAACAGGAUUAGAUACCCUGGUAGUCCACGCCGUAAACGAUGUCGACUUGGAGGUUGUGCCCUUGAGGCGUGGCUUCCGGAGCUAACGCGUUAAGUCGACCGCCUGGGGAGUACGGCCGCAAGGUUAAAACUCAAAUGAAUUGACGGGGGCCCGCACAAGCGGUGGAGCAUGUGGUUUAAUUCGAUGCAACGCGAAGAACCUUACCUGGUCUUGACAUCCACGGAAGUUUUCAGAGAUGAGAAUGUGCCUUCGGGAACCGUGAGACAGGUGCUGCAUGGCUGUCGUCAGCUCGUGUUGUGAAAUGUUGGGUUAAGUCCCGCAACGAGCGCAACCCUU
rnacentral:rRNA from 1 species